CUGGCGGCAUGCUUUACACAUGCAAGUCGAACGGCAGCACGAAAGAGCUUGCUCUUUUGGUGGCGAGUGGCGAACGGGUGAGUAAUACAUUGGAACGUACCGAGUAAUGGGGGAUAACUGUCCGAAAGGAUGGCUAAUACCGCAUACGCUCUGAGGAGGAAAGCGGGGGACCUUCGGGCCUCGCGUUAUUCGAGCGGCCAAUGUCUGAUUAGCUAGUUGGUGGGGUAAAGGCCUACCAAGGCGACGAUCAGUAGUGGGUCUGAGAGGAUGAUCCGCCACACUGGGACUGAGACACGGCCCAGACUCCUACGGGAGGCAGCAGUGGGGAAUUUUGGACAAUGGGCGAAAGCCUGAUCCAGCCAUGCCGCGUGUCUGAAGAAGGCCUUCGGGUUGUAAAGGACUUUUGUCAGGGAAGAAAGGGUUUGGGUUAAUACCC
rnacentral:rRNA from 1 species